UAUACAUGCAAGUCGAGCGAAUGGAUUAGGAGCUUGCUCCUAUGACGUUAGCGGCGGACGGGUGAGUAACACGUGGGCAACCUGCCCUAUAGAUUGGGAUAACUCCGGGAAACCGGGGCUAAUACCGAAUAAUCUUUUUUACUUCAUGGUUAAAAAUUGAAAGACGGCUUCUCCUGGUCCUUAUGGGAGGGCCCCCCGCCCCAUUACCUAUUUGGGAAGGUACCGGUUCCCCAAGGCAACAAUGCUUACCCAACCUGAAAGGGGGAUCGGCCCCCCGGGAACGGAAACCCGGCCCAAAUUCCUACGGAAGGCACCAUAAGGGAACCUUCCCCAUGGGCCAAAAGCCUGAUGAACCACCCCCCCGGGAUGGAAAAAGGUUUUCGGAUCGAAAACUUCUGUUGUAAGGAAAAAACAGUUACAGUUGAAACUGGUUGUACCUUGACGGUACCUUAUUAGAAAGCCACGGCUAACUACGUGCCAGCAGCCGCGGUAAUACGUAGGUGGCAAGCGUUGUCCGGAAUUAUUGGGCGUAAAGCGCGCGCAGGUGGUUUUUUAAGUCUGAUGUGAAAGCCACGGCUCAACCGUGGAGGGUCAUUGGAAACUGGGGACUUGAGUGCAGAAGAGGAAAGUGGAAUUCCAUGUGUAGCGGUGAAAUGCGUAGAGAUAUGGAGGAACACCAGUGGCGAAGCGACUUUCUGGUCUGUAACUGACGCUGAGCGCGAAAGCGUGGGAGCAACAGGAUUAGAUACCUGGUAGUCACGCGUAACGAUGAGUGCUAGUGUAAGGGGUUUCGUCCUUUAGUGCUGCAGCUAACCAUUAAGCACUCGCUGGGAGUAC
rnacentral:rRNA from 1 species